CGUCUUGCUAUUUAAUAAUUGUAACUUUACUAAAUUUAAUGGAUAGAGAUGUGCGAGGAAGAAAGCUCGGCGAAUAAUUAAUUGCAGAAUUAAAUCGGGGGAAGAAGAAAGUGGGAGCAACGAGGAAUGGUUAAAAAGGACUAAAUGUUUUUUUAUUUCUUUCUUCUCUGGAAUUCUAGUUCACCACCGGGAGAGAGUGACAGUCAGAGUAGAAGGCGACGUACAACGUGAUACUGCGGUAUACAGUUUGUACAUAAUACAUCCAAAAGUGGUAGAUAAAAAGCUUUACUGUUUUAUUACCCACAGACAAAAUAGAUUUCAUCAUUUGGAUUAACUAUAAAAUUAGGAAAAAGACUAUAAAAAUGGAUUAUAGCUUACCAAAUAAUACAAGAGUUAUUAAUACCAUAGGACAGUUUUCAUGUUUUUAUUACAUGAUGAGGCAGUUUCAGCUACCAAGGUAGUUUUUAUUAGUUGUUACAUAGAUGCCCCUAACUAAGCUUUAACGAUAAUAGCUUCUGGUUUCUUAUUUAUGCUGACUAAUUUUUAUUUUAAAUUUUAAAAUGAUUUAAAAUUUUAAAACUGACAAAAGCAGUCAAUUACUUUUUAUUUUCAACCACAUGUUUCAUAUCUCUUCUUUCUUCUUUCUUAUCUCUUUCACUUUAACAUAAGUAAACAAAAAUGGUGAAUAAAUUUGAGAAUAAACAUGAGAAGUUCGGGAUUUGUUUCGUAUCUCUCAGUUUUUUUUCCAAUCCUCUGCAUCAUCCAUCCCUUUUCCUUCCAUUUCUUUGUCUUUAACCUAGCAUAUGUUUGAUAAGUGAUGUUGGUUUAUGGUCUCUUUUCUUGUUGCUUGUGGUGUUGAGAUAACAGAUGGUGCUAUUCUUGAAAGCAUGUGCUAGAUUGUAUGAUUUAAUUUAACUUUGUGUAGUCUAGAAAGUUUGAUGUUCAAAUUUUAUUCUUGGUCAAUUCUUUAGCGUUGAUUGAAUGUUUGUUGAGAUUACAUAAAGAGAUCUUCUAGACUAAGUGGUGUUAUAUACAUCUUAGGUUUUGCAAACAUAAUACUUUAUAUAUUCAUGUUGAUGACCCAUACAAGUUGCUUGUUCAUAUUGCACACUUGUUUGUCUUUGAUGUAUGUGAAGGGAUGGAGGACCUCUGGAGGUAGUGUACAUGUGUAGUAGUGGCCACGUGUACACAUGUACAAAAGUUGAUAUGUAUGCAUGUCUGAGUGUUGAGGUGUACACUUUAUACCAAAGUUUGUGUGUACCAAUGUAAUAGAUUUUUUUUUUGUGUGUACAUGCAUACAAGUGUUGUGUUGUAACUGUGUGUUUCUUGGAAGUUUAUCCGUGUGUAUAUAACUGUUUGUGUAUUCGUUAGCUUGUUUUGAUGAAGCUGAUAUUUUUCUCGUAUAAACGUGGAAAUUUGAGUGUGAUUCAGUGAUAAAGAAAAUGUAUGGUGAUCAUGGCAUUUGAACUCUUCUUGUAUGUACAUAUUAAAAAUUAAUAAAAAAACUAAACUUUUAA